UCCACAUCCGUCGCCAACGUUAUUCUCACAACCCGAAAGAUUUUCAUCGCACCCUUUACAAUUUUUUUUAAAAAUCCGUCACCUUUUUAAAAAUUGGGAAAAAAUAUCAAGUUAAAAUUUUGUAACGAAUUUUUCAUGAAAAUAUCAAAUUUUACCACGUGCUCACUUCAACGUUUUAUUACUCACCAACCUUGCAUUGGAUCUCAUUUAAUAAUAAUUUUUUCAUAUUUUCAGCCCAACCAUCUCGUUCCGUCGGGUCGCCUGCUCAACGGCUAAAUCUGACCACGCCAUCCGUCCUACAUCAAACAGACCAACAAUCUCCUUCCACCUCCUUGUUGCCUGCUCAGCGCCCAAAUCCAGCCACGCCAUUAAGCGCCGACGACGAGGAGCCCUGCGUUGGCCGGGUCAUAGCGAUGGUCCACUUUGUCUCGCAGGAGACGCGGGUUAGGCGACGCGCCCUGCUCGCGGCCGCAUUCCCCCCACCCCCGGCGGGGACGGAUCUCAGGUCCGCGGAAAAAAUCCGGCGGGAGAAGGAACUUCGCGCCAUGGAGGCGAAAAGGAUGAAUAAUCUUUCCGAGAAUUUAAAACUCCUGGAAGCCGAGUGGCGCUCGCGGGGGAUGGAGGCACCCGCGUGGGCGGUCGAAUUACGCCGCGGGAAUAGAUCCAGUCUGGAUCAUCCAGAGCGGCAAAUCUGUUUCAUAAAAGCUUUCCGGCACGAAUGUAACCCGCUCCAGCGAACUUCAAAAUUUUUAAAUUCAUUAUUAACCUUACGGAAUAAUUAUUAUUGUAUUUUUUUAAAUUGUACAAAUUUUUACCACAAAAACCCCCAAUUUCUCAUGUUUUUUAAGAAAAAUUAAAAAAAAAUAAACCAUUUUUUUUGCCGGGGUUUCAUCCCUUUUGAUCAAA